GAGGCGAUAUCGGAUACUGGGCGUAAGCGUGUGUAGGCGGUUCGGAAGAAGAUGUGAAAUCCCAGGGCUCAACCUUGGAACUGCAUUUUUAACUGCCGAGCUAGAGUAUGUCAGAGGGGGGUAGAAUUCCACGUGUAGCAGUGAAAUGCGUAGAUAUGUGGAGGAAUACCGAUGGCGAAGGCAGCCCCCUGGGAUAAUACUGACGCUCAGACACGAAAGCGUGGGGAGCAAACAGGAUUAGAUACCCUGGUAGUCCACGCCCUAAACGAUGUCAACUAGCUGUUGGGGCCGUUAGGCCUUAGUAGCGCAGCUAACGCGUGAAGUUGACCGCCUGGGGAGUACGGUCGCAAGAUUAAAACUCAAAGGGAAUUGACGG
rnacentral:rRNA from 1 species